rnacentral:rRNA from 1 species
UACAGAGGGUGCAAACGUUGUUCGGAAUUACUGGGCGUAAAGCGAGUGUAGGCGGUUCGAUAAGUCGGAUGUGAAAGCCCCGGGCUCAACCCGGGAAGUGCACUCGAUACUGUCGAGCUAGAGUAUCGGAGAGGUUGGUGGAAUUCUCGGUGUAGAGGUGAAAUUCGUAGAUAUCGAGAGGAACACCGGUGGCGAAGGCGGCCAACUGGACGAAUACUGACGCUGAGACUCGAAAGCGUGGGGGAGCAAACAGG